rnacentral:rRNA from 1 species
GAGUGGCGGACGGGUGAGUAACGCGUGGGUAACCUGCCUCAUACAGGGGGAUAACAGUUGGAAACGACUGCUAAUACCGCAUAAGCGCACAGGAUUGCAUGAUCCGGUGUGAAAAACUCCGGUGGUAUGAGAUGGACCCGCGUCUGAUUAGCCAGUUGGCAGGGUAACGGCCUACCAAAGCGACGAUCAGUAGCCGACCUGAGAGGGUGACCGGCCACAUUGGGACUGAGACACGGCCCAGACUCCUACGGGAGGCAGCAGUGGGGAAUAUUGCACAAUGGGGGAAACCCUGAUGCAGCGACGCCGCGUGGAGGAAGAAGGUCUUCGGAUUGUAAACUCCUGUUGUUGGGGAAGAUAAUGACGGUACCCAACAAGGAAGUGACGGCUAACUACGUGCCAGCAGCCGCGGUAAAACGUAGGUCACAAGCGUUGUCCGGAAUUACUGGGUGUAAAGGGAGCGCAGGCGGGAAGACAAGUUGGAAGUGAAAUCUAUGGGCUCAACCCAUAAACUGCUUUCAAAACUGUUUUUCUUGAGUAGUGCAGAGGUAGGCGGAAUUCCCGGUGUAGCGGUGGAAUGCGUAGAUAUCGGGAGGAACACCAGUGGCGAAGGCGGCCUACUGGGCACCAACUGACGCUGAGGCUCGAAAGUGUGGGUAGCAAACAGGAUUAGAUACCCUGGUAGUCCACACCGUAAACGAUGAUUACUAGGUGUUGGAGGAUUGACCCCUUCAGUGCCGCAGUUAACACAAUAAGUAAUCCACCUGGGGAGUACGACCGCAAGGUUGAAACUCAAAGGAAUUGACGGGGGCCCGCACAAGCAGUGGAGUAUGUGGUUUAAUUCGACGCAACGCGAAGAACCUUACCAAGUCUUGACAUCCCUUGACAGACAUAGAAAUAUGUUUUCUCUUCGGAGCAAGGAGACAGGUGGUGCAUGGUUGUCGUCAGCUCGUGUCGUGAGAUGUUGGGUUAAGUCCCGCAACGAGCGCAACCCUUAUGGUCAGUUACUACGCAAGAGGACUCUGGCCAGACUGCCGUUGACAAAACGGAGGAAGGUGGGGAUGACGUCAAAUCAUCAUGCCCUUUAUGACUUGGGCUACACACGUACUACAAUGGCGUUAAACAAAGAGAAGCAAGACCGCGAGGUGGAGCAAAACUCAGAAACAACGUCCCAGUUCGGACUGCAGGCUGCAACUCGCCUGCACGAAGUCGGAAUUGCUAGUAAUCGUGGAUCAGCAUGCCACGGUGAAUAAAAGCCCGGGCCUUGUAC